rnacentral:misc_RNA from 1 species
UCCGGCUUGACGCCGGCAGUCCCCCGAGAGUCCUCAGCAUUACCUGUUAGUAACACGGGGCAAGGGUUGCGCUCGUUGCGGGACUUAACCCAACAUCUCACGACACGGGCUGACGACAGCCAUGCAGCACCUGUGCACGAGCUCCGAAGAGGGGUCGCUGUUUCCAGCGACUUUCCCGUGCAUGUCAAGCCCAGGUAAGGUUCUUCGCGUUGCGUCGAAUUAAACCACAUGCUCCACCGCUUGUGCGGGCCCCCGUCAAUUCCUUUGAGUUUUAGCCUUGCGGCCGUACUCCCCAGGCGGGGCGCUUAAUGCGUUAGCUACGGCACGGAACCCGUGGAAUGGAUCCCACACCUAGCGCCCAACGUUUACGGUGUGGACUAC